UACGGAGGAUCCGAGCGUUAUCCGGAUUUAUUGGGUUUAAAGGGUGCGCAGGCGGGAGAUUAAGUCGGCGGUGAAAUUUUGCAGCUCAACUGUAAAAGUGCCUUCGAAACUGGUUUCCUUGAGUGUGGAUGAAGUAGGCGGAAUUUGUGGUGUAGCGGUGAAACGCAUAGAUAUCACGAGGAACUCCGAUUGCGCAGGCAGCUUACUAAACCAUAACUGACGCUCAGGCACGAAGGCGUAGGGAUCAAACAGGAUUAGAUACCCUGGUAGU
rnacentral:rRNA from 1 species